CACGCCGUAAACGAUGGAUACUAGCUGUUCGGAGCAAUCUGAGUGGCUAAGCGAAAGUGAUAAGUAUCCCACCUGGGGAGUACGCACGCAAGUGUGAAACUCAAAGGAAUUGACGGGGACCCGCACAAGCGGUGGAUGAUGUGGUUUAAUUCGAUGCAACGCGAAAAACCUUACCCACCUUUGACAUGGUCGGAACCCUUUAGAGAUAGAGGGGUGCUCGAAAGAGAGCCGAUACACAGGUGC
rnacentral:rRNA from 1 species